UCGAGCUGAUUUGAGGAGUGUUCCAUGAUGGCAAGCGCUGUGACUGUAUCUCCAUGUUAGGAAGAAAAAGACGAGUAACGUUGCACACGGCUGAUGUGGGCACUCCCCCAUGGUCCCAAGCUGUUUGCACCUGUGCGUUAAGAGCGUGGAGAACAAUAAUGGACUCUGGAACUGAUUUCAGCUUUUGCUGUCGUCAAGAUUGUCAUGCUGCCUCUGUGUAUGGAAGGAGAUCAAGGAUAAAAAAGAGAUAUUAAGAAAAAGUAAUAAAUACCUAAAUACUGAGUUGAUGAAAUGCAGAAAGCAAGGAUCAAUGGUGAUUAGGUCUCAAUUGUUUUAUCAUCUCCUCUGCUCCGUACCCCUCGGAACGGACGCACUCAAGCUAAUUUAGCAUCUUCCAUGGCAGGAGCUCCACGGUUGCGUCUGUAUGACAGGAGGACGGAGAUUAAUAAUGGAUGCACUCAAGCUUCUUUAAGCAUGUUCCACGGUCAUGAUCUUUAUGUUUGCACCUGUGUGUUAGGAGCAUGGAGACCAAUGUGAGUAAUAGUCGAAGUUCUCAUGUUGGUUUGAGUGGUUCAAAGAAGGCCAAUCAUACCAAUGUUUAAUAUCAGAUUGAUAGGAAGCAUUGCAUUGAUUAACCCAUAAAGAAACAGACACUGAGUUCAGUUAAUGAAAAGGAUAGAGACUCUUUGUAAAUGAUGCUAUUGGUGAAUAUUAGGGAUAUUGAAGGAUCUUGUUUUUUUUUUAUUUAUGUGUAUUUCUUCAUGAAUAAAUUAACCAAUAAAGAAAUGUAGAUGAGAAUGGACAGAAAGAAGGCCAAUCAGGGGCCAGUGAUGACGA